rnacentral:rRNA from 1 species
GACGAACGCUGGCGGCGUGCUUAACACAUGCAAGUCGAGCGGUAAGGCCCUUUCGGGGGUACACGAGCGGCGAACGGGUGAGUAACACGUGAGCAACCUGCCCUUCUCUUUGGAAUAAGCGUUGGAAACGACGUCUAAUGCCGAAUAUGACCCCCUGUCGCAUGGUGGGGGGUGGAAAGCUCUGGCGGAGAAGGAUGGGCUCGCGGCCUAUCAGCUUGUUGGUGUGGGUAAUGGCCCACCAAGGCGACGACGGGUAGCCGGCCUGAGAGGGUGACCGGCCACACUGGGACUGAGACACGGCCCAGACUCCUACGGGAGGCAGCAGUGGGGAAUAUUGGACAAUGGGCGAAAGCCUGAUCCAGCAACGCCGCGUGAGGGAUGACGGCCUUCGGGUUGUAAACCUCUUUUAGUAGGGAAGAAGCGAAAGUGACGGUACCUGCAGAAAAAGCACCGGCUAACUACGUGCCAGCCGCCGCCGUAAUAC